rnacentral:rRNA from 1 species
GAUGAACGCUGGCGGCGUGCCUAAUACAUGCAAGUCGAGCGAACAGACGAGGAGCUUGCUCCUUUGACGUUAGCGGCGGACGGGUGAGUAACACGUAGGUAACCUACCUAUAAGACUGGGAUAACUUCGGGAAACCGGAGCUAAUACCGGAUAAUAUUUCGAACCGCAUGGUUCGAUAGUGAAAGAUGGCUUUGCUAUCACUUAUAGAUGGACCUGCGCCGUAUUAGCUAGUUGGUAAGGUAACGGCUUACCAAGGCAACGAUACGUAGCCGACCUGAGAGGGUGAUCGCCCACACUGGAACUGAGACACGGUCCAGACUCCUACGGGAGGCAGCAGUAGGGAAUCGUCCGCAAUGGUCGAAAGCCUGACGGAGCAACGCCGCGUGAGUGGUGAAGGUCUUCGGAUCGUAAAACUCUGUUAUUAGGGAAGAACAAACGUGUAAGUAACUGUGCACGUCUUGACGGUACCUAAUCAGAAAGCCACGGCUAACUACGUG